rnacentral:lncRNA from 1 species
UGUAUAUAAAAUAAAAUUUUGUAGGAAAUUUAUAUUUACAGUUAAAGUAAGAUAUUUAUCUCAAGUAUCCAAAAAACUCCUACAACCAUUUUAUUGACUUCCUUAUAAAUACAUAAUUUUCACACUACUGGUGAAGGUGUCUGCUCUGUCAGAAUGAUAGUGAUAUGAAGCAUGCCUUUUAGUAGUAGAUCAUGACACCAUGAGGUCAGGAACAAAAAGGAUGUUUAUUCUUAGAAACUUUGGUGCUAGUGUAGUUGUGCCUGCAGAAUACAACUGUACACGAUUUAAUUCAAUAGAUUAUUAUUAUAUAUUUGAUGACAUCGAAAAAUUACAAAAAUAUUUAAAAAGGGUUAUACACUCAUUUAGUUCCUAUCUUCUUGUUGAAUUCAAUCUUUCCUUUUUUGACCAAUCAAUCUCCAUGACACAUGCUAAAUGUGGCAGAAGUAAUGUGCUCCAACCUAUUCCUCCUAUGUUUUCUGUAUAAUCUAAUAAUAGAUAUGUUUGACCAGUUAUUGCUUUUUCUUAAUCAUAAGUAAUAUUACCAAAAAUACAAGCACCUUUAGCAGUUAAUCUAUGUAGGAAUAACUGAUGCUUUUGGCUGUCCGCCGUCUUCGGGUUGCGGGGGGAAUAGAAGAAUAUAAAUUUGAAAAUAAAAAUUGGGAUAGAGCGAUGUUGGUUGCUAUGGAUACAAGCC